UGUUAUGUUACUGUUACUUUGUGUUUACUGGAUUGUUUUUUGAUUAUGUUGGUUAUCGUAAUUCGUAUGUAAUUAUUGAUGAGAAUUUAAAUUCUCAGAGAUCAAAAACAGAGACAUUUUCUCCUACGACGUCUUGAGUACGAAAGAUUUUAAAUUAUUCUGCAAUAUGAUUACUAUGUUUUUUUGAUAGAUUGUGUAUAUAAAUUUCGAAUUUUUUUAAAUAGAUUAUUCUUACUAAUAUAUUGUGAAUGUGUUACUUUUAGAAAUAUUUUCAUAUGAUUUUCUUUAUAAAUUAUGAAUAUUUUUAAUAAAAGGUUUAUAUAUUUAAUUGCUCCUUGUUGUCUUUACUGAACUAACUUGACGUAACCUGCCUGCUUAUAGGCGUCAGAUGUGUCUUAAAAGCAGAAAAUGCGUGUCUUUAAAUGAUUUAUAACAUAUUCAAGAGCCGUCCAUUAAAGUCAUCGAGAGAAACUUACAAACUUUCCCUCGCGAGACUUAAUUAGUCACGAGAAAUAAGGAUGAAUCGAUAUGGAGUAUAUUAUCGAAGACUACUUAAUGGCUAAGCUAAGUGAUUAGAAUGAAAAUGAUCGGUUGUAAUGAUAAGGAUAAUUUAGCGACAUGUAGUUUAUCAGUGUCUGUUAUUGCUACGCGAACUUGUCGAUAAAGUAGACUUUUUCUAAAUUUAGGAAACAUGUCGAGACGAACUGAACAGCCUUCGCGAAGCGCGCGACUCGGUGGACGCCCCUUAGAUGUGUAAAAGAUUGCAAGAAAUAUUUACUUGCAUACUAUAUACGGAUGCGAAUGUGUGGAUCACUUUACUGACCGGUAAUGAGAGUUAUAUUUUAGCGUAAAUUAAAGUGACAGGUAUUGUAAUAAACCAAACGGAAGAGCCAUUGUUUUAUAUUACGCUCUCUCGCUCUAUUGUGUAAUAAUUGUUUUAUAUAUAUACACAUAUAUAAUAUAUAAUAAUGUUGACUGGUUCGAGAGACUCUCCAAUCGAACUCCCGUCACUCCCGCGACAAUAUAACUGUUUCUUUUCCUAGAUAAGAAACAUAAGGGAGAUGACGCUUAGCGAAAAAGAAAAAAAAACUGUAUCCCACUUCUUUCAUUAGAUAUUAAUAGAUGGUAAAUGAUGAUUGUGGUUUAAUUGUGCAUUCGAUCAUUGCUGCUUUCUUAGUUAUUGAGUCGUACUCCAUAAAAAAGAGAAAGCUCGAAAGACUAAGAAUUUUUUACUAUUACUAAUACUUACAUUUUUCUUGAGCACACACGUACGCACACGCACACACUCACACACACACGCACACGCACGCACACGCAGGCACACACUUUGUAGCUGCUGAGUGAUGGCGAAGCAUUUACGUCAUAUCAUAUAAAUAUUGUAGAACUUUUAUAAUAUUCAUUAUUUUUUGUCACACACAAAAACUUAACAAAAUUUUGCAGUCACAAAUAAAUAGAUAGAACCAAACUAUACCUUCCUAUCUUUUGCAAUUUUAUCUGCACAAUAAAAGCGCGAUAUGUUAGUGUUGGAUGAUUCAUGUUUUAAAAACGAUAUUAAAAGAAUUUCUAAAGAUUUGCGUAUUUCGUCUUGUUUCAGGCAAGUAUCGUUUAAACUACCGUAUCAAUCUUUUUAAUAAUGAUAGUUUAAAAUCUUAUUUUUUUUGUUCUUUCUUUAUUUUUUUAUUCCUUUACUUUUUAUUCCCUGUUAAAAUAUAAAUUUAAUAAACUGUUAAAGAACUCCGUACAUAUUUAUGCGCGACACAUUAUUUGGUAACAGUUAUUCGUACGUCGUUAUAUUUUCGAACAUAACUCAGUUUGUCAACAAUAUACAUAUAGCAUUUAGAAAAAUAAAUAUUGUAAAUAUCUUCUCAGUGUCCUUUAACACGAAGAUAUACAUCGAAAAUAGCUUGUAAGAAGCUCGGAACAAUAGCGUCCUCGGAAAAAUUAUCAGUUAUAUCCGAGAACUGUGCGAAGACAGCUACCUAAUUUUUCUGCUAAGGUACCAUAUUUCACGUACGCAUAAUUUCCAAAUUUACAAUAAAGUAUUCGUUAUCUCAUUCGUUAUUCAGGGAAACAAAAUAUAUCCUUAUAGCCAUUUUCAUGAAUUUUUUGCAAGGUUGGUGCAUCCGUGGUCUUUUGGAGGAAUUGCAGGAACGCGAUAGUCGGUUGGCAUUAUUGCGAAUACUCAAUCUUAUGAUCAAUAAAAUACGAUAAACAAAUACAAUCCGAUGCACGAAGGGUGUUAUUUCGAGUUACCGUGUGAGAUACAGCUGAAGCGAGCUGUGAUUAACGUGAAAUUUAUAGACUAUGCGUGUUUCGCGUGGACGAUGAUCCACCGCUCUACAUCCAGUCGAUAGAUAUACAAGAUCGCACAUCAUCGUAUCUCCACUACACUGCACGAGCGUACUCAAUCUUCAAGACAUUGAGUUUCUCAUGAAAAUUAACCAAAUAAUAAGAUUUGAACGAUUAAGAAAAGAACGAAGCGUCUAUCACAUUGUUCCGAUACGUCUCAACGACAGGAAGAAGAAAAACACGUCAACUUACUACACAUUUUGAAUCUUCGAGACCACAACGCGGGACAUUUUGCCUGGAUCAAGAACUUAUCCUGGCUCGCAGUUGAGCAAGAAAAUACAUUUGCGAUUGGUAUCUACACUACUUCCAUUUCAACAAGAAGCUAGAGAGUUACACAACAAAUUGCCAAAAAUUGAAUGACUGUGCCAUCAUUCUGCCGACUGUUGACAACAAGUGGCUAAGCUUUAGCAGGAAGAAGCGAAUUCCAUUUGUAGUGUACGCUGACCUGGAGUAUACGCUGGAGAAGACUGCAAAGAAUGGGGAGGGUCACAAAUCGCACACGUAUCAGCAUCACAAGGUAUUUAGCAUAGCGUACUACUUGUAUUGCUCGUACGAUUCAUUAUCAUAUUUUCGGAGCCGUCACGAUGCUGAUUGCUUUUCAUGGUUCAUCGAACAACUCGAGGUGUUAGCGCACCGCGUAAAAGUAAUUUUAUCCACCAAUGUCCCCAUAGAAACUUUGUCGAAAGAACAAUGGGCGCUAUUUUGUAAUGCGACGCAUUGUCAUGUGUGCGAGAAAUCAUUCGUGGCGGAGGAUACGCGCGUACGCGAUCAAUGGCCGCGUUCAGCAGAGAAAGCUGCUUUGCAACUGU